UAUUUGUUCUCUCAGCUUCGUGUGACGCAGUCCUAAAAUCCAACAGAAGAACACAAAGAAAAUGUUUUUCAAGCUCACAUUUUUCAAGGCCUUUGGGUGCCUACUUGCGCAUAAGAGAACAUUGAUCAACCUGUACCACACCAAGGCUGCAUUUAAGACGGAGAAGACAAGGGAGAGGCUUCACUUCUAUCAUGAAGAACUGCAGCUUUGCCUCACAGGCCAGAGGUUGGAUGAAGACCAGACGUUGCUGUGUGAAUACAAAAGCCAACGCAGGUCCAUCAUACAAGCACUUAUAGAUCUGGCAGGUGGAGGACGGUAUGACCCAGAGAAGGAAGGUGGUGGUAUGGGUGACAAGGACAAAAACAGAAGUAUGGAGAAGCUCGCUGAGUUUUAAGAGCACAGCUGCACUCAGUGUUCCACAGUUUGUCUGAUGUAAGGGUUGCUCCCUCUGCUGAACUCAAACAUGGCAGAGAGACCCUGGAAAAUGACCCCCUCACCACACAGGAACCCACGAAUGUCAAUCUUCAAAUGUAGAUUUCGAGCCUGGAUCACCCAGAAAGAAGUCUAUACAAUUUUCUGCAUUAAAAUUCCAAAAUCUGAUGUGAAGACGGUGAUCCAGCGGCUACCUGACGCUGAUUUAAGGCAGAACUUUCUGCAGAAGUUGAAAAUCAUGGAUCAGACCGAUCCCAACACUAAGAAAUAUGAGUGUUGCUGUUGUGAUGUCAAAGGAAAAGUGUUGAUGUUUUGUUAAUAUAUGUAAAUAUGUAAUUAUGAAUAUGAUUUGUAAGAAUGUAUAUGUCUACUUAGACUGUAUCAGCCUAAUCUUUUAAACCAGCUUUCUUUUAAAGUGGAGGAUUACCAUUUUUCACCUAUAAUGUAUACUGUUUGGACUCAUUAUGCUGUCUUCACGUUUAUGUAAAUGAUCUAAUGAAUAUUUUACAUGAAUCAUAUUUUUAUGACCAGUUAAAUGUGCUAAUUAAAAAGGGGGCCUUGAAUUUUUGUCAGGUUACUUUAUAGAGUAGGGACAUAGAACAGGG
rnacentral:lncRNA from 1 species